GCUCUCUGCACUCUCCUCGACUGUGCACAACAACAAUGGCGGAAGUCGCUUCUUUCCUUUCCAGUUGAGUGGACUGACUGAAGACAAGCGUCUGUAGAGGCUGGCCAUGGAUGAAGAGUUGACACCUUUGGACUGCCUGCUGCCUUCAGGCACGCGGAGGAUCUGUUUGCUUAUUCUGAACCAGCCUCUGGAUAAGGAAUACCUCCACAUCUUAUGGAAUAAAG